GCCACUCUUUUAAAUACUAAGCUUGCAAAUAGUGGAAUACAACUUGCAAACCCAACAGAAAUGGAAGGGUCUCGUAAAGUAACACUGGAAGGUGUGGCCAGCUCAAAGAUUGAACUAGAAGUGCCUUCUGAAACCCAAUGCAGUGGAUGUUCUUCUUAACUCGAAACCGACCAACAAUCUAAGAGUGUGAUGUAUCAUUGGAAUUCGGAUCAAAGUUUUGAGGCAGAGUUCUUCAAUGUAAGUAACUUUACCUUCUUAAACUUUACUUCUUCUACAGUCCUGUUCACUUUUAUCUUGUCAUAUAAGUUUUUUAAAACUCAAGCAUGUCUUGUGACUUUUAAAUUUCUUAGUCUAAUUUAACUAUUAUUCAACAGGUGAGCCUCGCUCAGGGAUCGAACCAGAACGUCCCUCUGAACCCCACUGCACUGAAGGUGUCCUUAAACUCAAAAUGGAUCAACAACAGUCUAUGCAUGAUUUCUUAUUGGAAUUCGGAUCAAAGUUUUAAGGCAGAGUUCUUUAAAUGUUACACGACUUUGAAUCUACAUGAUUAUAAAGGAAAAGGUUAAACAAGACAUACUCACAGCCCUGUUCACUUUUAUUUUGUCAUGGAUCGAACCAGAGCGACCAUCUGAAACUCAUUGCAGUUAAGGUAUACUUCUUCUUACUCAAAGAGGAUCAACAUGCAGUGUGUGAAAUUCCUCAUUGGAAUUUGGAUAAGAGUUUUGUGCAUGAGGAAGAUUUCUUCAGUUGUUCUCUACAAGGCUUUGGAAGGGAAAAUACACCUAGUGGACAGUACAAUUUUAUUUGUUGGAUAUUAAGGUUGUGAACAUUUUAGUUUUACUCUUGAAUAAGUUAACAGCAGAGCAAAAAAGUUGCUUCAGAUC